CCCUACGGGGGGCAGCAGUGAGGAAUAUUGGUCAAUGGGCGGGAGCCUGAACCAGCCAAGUCGCGUGAGGGAUGACGGCCCUAUGGGUUGUAAACCUCUUUUGCCGGGGAGCAAAGUGCCGCACGUGCGCGGUUUGGAGAGUACCCGGAGAAAAAGCAUCGGCUAACUCCGUGCCAGCAGCCGCGGUAAUACGGAGGAUGCGAGCGUUAUCCGGAUUUAUUGGGUUUAAAGGGUGCGUAGGCGGACGCUUAAGUCAGCGGUAAAAUUGCG
rnacentral:rRNA from 1 species